AGUGAACGCUGGCGGUAGGCCUAACACAUGCAAGUCGAACGGCAGCACAGUAAGAGCUUGCUCUUACGGGUGGCGAGUGGCGGACGGGUGAGGAAUACAUCGGAAUCUACUUUUUCGUGGGGGAUAACGUAGGGAAACUUACGCUAAUACCGCAUACGACCUACGGGUGAAAGCAGGGGAUCUUCGGACCUUGCGCGAUUGAAUGAGCCGAUGUCGGAUUAGCUAGUUGGCGGGGUAAAGGCCCACCAAGGCGACGAUCCGUAGCUGGUCUGAGAGGAUGAUCAGCCACACUGGAACGGAGAGACGGUCCAGACUCCUACGGGAGGCAGCAGUGGGGAAUAUUGGACAAUGGGCGCAAGCCUGAUCCAGCCAUACCGCGUGGGUGAAGAAGGCCUUCGGGUUGUAAAGCCCUUUUGUUGGGAAAGAAAAGCAGCAGGUUAAUACCCCGCUGUUCUGACGGUACCCAAAGAAUAAGCACCGGCUAACUUCGUG
rnacentral:rRNA from 1 species